AUUGAACGCUGGCGGCGUGCUUAACACAUGCAAGUCGAUCGGUAACGCGGGGGCAACCCUGGCGACGAGAGGCGGACGGGUGAGGAACGCUUGGGAAUCUGCCCUUCAGCGGGGGACAACCCGGGGAAACCCGGGCUAAUACCGCAUACGCUCUAUGGAGGAAAGCCGGGGACCGCAAGGCCUGGCACUGAAGGAUGAGCCCAAGUCGGAUUAGCUAGUUGGCGGGGUAACGGCCCACCAAGGCGACGAUCCGUAGCUGGUCUGAGAGGACGAUCAGCCACACUGGGACUGAGACACGGCCCAGACUCCUACGGGAGGCAGCAGUGGGGAAUAUUGGACAAUGGGGGAAACCCUGAUCCAGCGACGCCGCGUGGGUGAAGAAGGCCUGCGGGUUGUAAAGCCCUUUCGGUAGGGACGAAAGCUCUCGACCUAACACGUCGGGAGGUUGACUUAACCUACAAAAGAAGCACCGGCUAACUCUGUGCCAGCAGCAGCCGCAGUAA
rnacentral:rRNA from 1 species